rnacentral:rRNA from 1 species
UACGUAGGGUGCAAGCGUUAAUCGGAAUUACUGGGCGUAAAGCGUGCGCAGGCGGUUAUGCAAGACCGAUGUGAAAUCCCCGGGCUCAACCUGGGAACUGCAUUUGUGACUGCAUGGCUAGAGUACGGUAGAGGGGGAUGGAAUUCCGCGUGUAGCAGUGAAAUGCGUAGAUAUCAGGAAGAACACCCGUGGCGAAAGCGGCUCUCUGGAACGGUACUGACGCUGAGACGCGAAAGCGUGGGGAGCGAACAGG